rnacentral:tRNA from 1 species
GGGCGUGUGGCGGAACUGGCAGACGCGCCAGACUUAGGAUCUGGUGGGGCAGCCCGUGGAGGUUCGAGUCCUCUCACGCCCA